GACGAACGCUGGCGGCGUGCUUAACACAUGCAAGUCGAACGGAGUGGCGAACGGGUGAGUAACACGUGGGUGACCUGCCCUGCACUUCGGGAUAAGCCUGGGAAACUGGGUCUAAUACCGGAUAGUGUGGGAUGGGCCCGCGGCCUAUCAGAUUGUUGGUGGGGUAAUGGCCUACCAAGGCGGCGACGGGUGGCCGGCCUGAGAGGGUGGACGGCCAAAUUGGGUAUGGGUAACGGCCCAGACUCCUACGGGAGGCAGGAGGGGGGAAUAUUGCACAAUGGGCGGAAGCCUGAUGCAGCGACGCCGCGUGGUGUAUGACGGCCUUCGGGUUGUAAAGCUCUGUUAGUCGGGACAGCGAAUAGUGAGAAGGAUUGACGGUACCGAACUAGAAAGCCACGGCUAACUACGUGCCAGCAGCCGCGGUAAUAC
rnacentral:rRNA from 1 species